CGAAAAAGCGAUCUGGUCUGCAAGAAAAGAAAAAGAAAAAGAGAGAGAAACAAAAAGAAGGAGGAGUUAGGGUUUUUACGAAGGAGAAGAAGAAGGAGGGAAGAACGCCCAAACUCGAACACCGAAGCAAUCUCGAUCUCAGGUUUCCUACCGGAUCUACUUAGAGGAUCAAGAGGAGCGGUCUGAGCGUUUGGAUCGUUCGUUUCAGGUGAUAAACGGGCAAGAGCGCGAGGUAAGUCGGCGACCUCGUUUGUUUCACUACAGAUCUGUGAGUUUCGGAUAAUUUAGGUCUUAAUAAUCUAGUUGCAAUACCUUAGGUAAGGAUUCUUCCAAUUUUUCGGAGGAAUCGCGGCCAAAAAUCGUAUCGGGAAAGGAAAUCGAGAAUAGUCCAAUUCCGGUUGGUAUGGAAUUUGACUGGAAUCUGGAAAUAGGAAGAACUCAGGCAAUCGGCGACGAACACGCGGCGGCCGAAUAGGAGGGAGACGCGUCCGGCAACAAGAGGGAGACGCGUACGACUGCGACCCAGAAACCCAAACCGGAAACCGACUCGCGGUCCAACCCGAAACCUACUGCCAGUCCCUGCACGCCACGUGUCAUGUCCUGAAAAAUAGAAGGGUAAAUCUGCGUCCACCGGGGUUCGAAGCGUGCCUCUGCCCGGGUUGGGCCGUUUAAAAUGAUGGGUUGGGCCGUUUUAAACAUUUGGGAAAAAAAUAAAAGAGUAGAUAACAAACCCUAACCUUUUAGUUUCUGCCGCCGCGAGAACGUAAGGAGACGACCCUUUGUCUGGUUCUUCAAUCACUUCAUCCUCUUGGCCGGCAAACCUAUGCCUCGUUUGGUAGUAAUCACUCGUGUGCAUCAAGGUGUUCCUUGGCUCGGUCUCGUUAGUCCUCUCUUCCCAGAAUAAUGGUUGUGUUAAUCUCUGCAGGUGAGGUCUAAGGGUUCGUUGGAGGCUGACGUUUUUUGAAGUCGCCGGAGUUUGGUUACGCUCGCCGUAAAACCUAGUGAGAUUCGUUGGAGGCUGUUUUCCAAGUCGCCGGAGUACUCGCCGGAAAACUUCGGUGAGGUCUAAGGGUUUGGAGACAGACUUAUUCGAAGUCGCCGGAGUUUGGGUUACGGUCGCCGGAAAACUUUGGUAUUAUCCAUCUUUUUCAAUUUUUCUUUCUUUCUUCGUCUUUGUCUCUUUGUCUCGGUAACUUUUAAAUGAAAAUGACAUCUAACCUCUCGUUUACAAAUUUAGUGAUGUUUAACUUUUGGGUUUACAUAUUUAGGUGACAGUGACAUUUAACAUCUGAAUAGACAGUGACAGUGACAUGUAACAUUUUCUUUGCUAUAAGAAGAAAUAUACAUUUUUUCCUCUCUUCCA